GAACUACUCCCUCUGUCCCAAAUUUCUUGUCUUAGAUUUGUCUAGAUACGGAUGUAUCUAAUACUAAAAUGUGACUUGAUACAUCCGAAUCUAGAAAAAUCUAAGACAAGAAUUUUGGGAUGGAGGGAGUACUUU
rfam:Triticum urartu cultivar G1812 contig469157, whole genome shotgun sequence.